UCUAUUUUCAUAUCAAAUCUGCAUGAAAUGCUUUUGGCUAAAGUAUCUACGGUUUAGAUGUUUAUUUAUAUGUUUGGCUUUAUGAAAAUGGUGGAUCGAAGCCGGAAAAGCUAUGAAAUGUUUUCUAAAAUUAUUUUCAAAGAGAUUUAAUAAAAAAUAAAAGGUUUACGAUUCGAUUUAGCAAAGUUUUUAAGAAAACUUAUAAACCGAAAGGUUUUGCUACUGAGAAAGAUGAUGAACAGUAGUUGUUUUGAAAGAAUAGGGUUUAGUGAGGUUACCAUUAAUUAAUAGUCUAGAUCUGCAAAUAUACAUAAGUUAAGAGGGUUAAAAAUUAGAAAAUAAAGGCAAGUAAUAGCAUAGCGAAAAUCUAACAUAAUUAACGUAAAUAGGGGGCUGCUUUUGAGCGAAGAAUGAAUUAAAUUAUUUUGAUCAAUUAUGUGGUGUGUAUUUAUUCAUACAAAGUUGAAAAUUUUGGAGGAGCAUCGUCUAGCAGAGAAAAAGGCAAGGAGAAGGUCACAUAGUCAACGUGUGGUGAACUAAGAUAAGUAGUGCGCAGGAUAGCGAGGAGGGUGGCAGUUCAGUGAUCCAUCGCACAAGCUUUCUUUCUACAGUAUGAAUGUUGAGCUUAUAAAACCCCAAGAAGGCAAUGUGGAAAUUCUCAGGCUAGAGACUUAGAAUUUGACUUAGAUAAUUUUAGACAAUACAAAAAUAAUUUUUCAAAGGGUUGUAGUUAGACUUUUUAAAGAAGUUGAAACGCCAGAUCCUGAUUCUGACUGAUUUUACACAA